UUCAUUUUGUAUAAGAGAAUA
rnacentral:piRNA from 1 species